AUUGAACGCUGGCGGCAGGCCUAACACAUGCAAGUCGAACGAAUCGCGUACGUGAGAUUAAUGUCUGGGCAACUGACCGGUGGAUGGGGAUGACUACUGGAAACGGUAGCUAAUACCGCAUUCCAUCGGCUGUGCCCAGAUGGGAUGAGCUAGUUGUUGGGGUAACGGCUCACCAAGGCGAGGAUCCCUAGCUGGUCUGAGAGGAUGACCAGCCACACUGGAACUGAGACACGGUCCAGACUCCUACGGGAGGCAGCAGUGGGGAAUAUUGGACAAUGGGGGAAAGCCUGAUGCAGCCAUGCCGCGUGUAUGAAGAAGGCCUUCGGGUUGUAAAGCACUUUCGGCGGGGAGGCGUUACCCGCAGAAGAAGCACCGGCUAACUCCGUGCCAGCCGCCGCGGUAAUAC
rnacentral:rRNA from 1 species